rnacentral:rRNA from 1 species
AUUGAACGCUGGCGGCAGGCCUAACACAUGCAAGUCGAGCGAGCGGCGGACGGGUGAGUACUGUCUGGGAAACUGCCUGCUGGAGGGGGAUGCCUGCUGGAAACGGUAGCUCAUACCGAAUCCCCUCAGAUGUGCCCAGAUGGGAUUAGCUCGUAGGUGGGGUAACGGCCAACCUAGGCGACGAUCCCUAGCUGGUCUGAGAGGAUGACCAGCCACACUGGAACUGAGACACGGUCCAGACUCCUACGUGAGGCAGCAGUGGGGAAUAUGGCAAAAUGGGAGCAAGCCUGAUGCAGCCAUGCCGCGUGUGUGAAGAAGGCGUUCGGGUGGUAAAGCACUUUCAGCGGGGAGGCGUUACCCGCAGAAGAAGCACCGGCUAACUCCGUGCCAGCAGCCGCGGUAAUUC